rnacentral:tRNA from 1 species
CCUGGUGGCUCAGAGGGUAAAGCAUCUGCCUGCAAUGUAGGAGACCUGGGUUCAAUCCCCAGGUCAGGA